rnacentral:rRNA from 1 species
UACGUAGGCAGCGAGCGUUGUUCGGAGUUACUGGGCGUAAAGGGUGCGUAGGCGGUUUUCCAAGUUUGGUGUGAAAUCUCCCCGGCUUAACUGGGAGGGUGCGCCGAAAACUAGGAGACUUGAGUACCGGAGAGGUAAGCGGGAAUUCCUGGUGUAGCGGUGAAAUGCGUAGAGAUCAGGAGGAACACCUGUGGGUGUAGACGCUUACUGGACGGUCACUGGACGCUGAGGCACGAAAGCGUGGGUAGCAAACAGG